ACCAGCGUGGUGUAGUGGUAGAGAGCAGGGCUCAUAACCCAGAGAUUGCCAGUUUGAUUCCCCACUGGGG